ACGUAGGUGGCGAGCGUUGUCCGGAAUUACUGGGUGUAAAGGGAGCGCAGGCGGGGAAACAAGUCAGCUGUGAAAACUAUGGGCUUAACCCAUAAACUGCAGUUGAAACUGUUUUUCUUGAGUGGAGUAGAGGUAGGCGGAAUUCCGAGUGUGGCGGUGUAAUGCGUAGAUAUUGGGGGGGACACGAGAAGGGGAGGCGAGCUACUGGGAUCUAACUGCCGCGGAGUCUCGAAAGUGUGUUGAGCUGACCG
rnacentral:rRNA from 1 species